rnacentral:lncRNA from 1 species
GUGACUUAGUCCUUGCUAAGAUAGCACCUAAAACAGAUUUUUAAGUAAUUCAUUUGCUGAGGAACUUUCUAACCUUUUUUGACUGUCACGUCUCUCUUCUGCUUUUCUGUGCUCUUGUCCUCUUGUCUUCUCCUUUCUUUCCCCCAGUCCAUUAGUAAGUGAAUAGUUUGAAAAACUAGAAGUUUAUGCUUUGCCCUUUUACUGUGCAGGACUGUCAGCCUUCUUUUGGUAUAAAUUUAGCUCUAGAUUUGCAGAGGCAGAAGUGUGGUAAUUUCAUGAAAAGUGACACUGUCAAUUAGUCCCCUGUCCAGAUGAUCUUGUAGUCCUAAUGGGUACACAUUGAGGUUAAUUGCCUGACUUUGGACCCAAGUUGAAGACUUGUGAUUAGUCUAGAACAUUAUUGUUAAUAAUUUUAUUAUUACUUGGUCUUGCUCCAGAUUAUUUACUCAUUCUGAUGUAACUUUCAAAUUAGUGGUUUCUUUUAGUAAUUCUGAUAAAUUGACAUUUAAUAUAGAAAUUACUUCUGAGUUUUGAAAACAAAAUUAAUUUGGACAAGUUAGUAAACUGAAGUUUCUUGAAAGAAACUUUCAUACAUAUUUGAGUCCUAAGUGUUUUC